GACUCCGGGGAAACACUCACGUGGUCCCAGUGGGUCACCCACAUGGUGGGGCAUCGGAGGCAAUCUAGUGUCCACCCCUGGAACAGCGGACAUCUCUAGAGAAACUCUGCAGCAGUCAGAAACAUCGAAUGAGAUAAUGCACAGCAACUCAGGUGAAUGUAAUGACUGAUUAACGAACGAAGACUCCACCUUCUCUUCCUCUCGUGGAUCCCAGCGAACUUCCAGGGCAUGGGUUGGCAUAGGUUUGAAGAAGGUUUCUCGGCCUCUGCACUGUCUACAUUUUGGGCCCGCUGAGUCUUUGUAGUUGGGGCUGGCCUGUGCAU
rnacentral:lncRNA from 10 species